UUCCACUUCUCAUUCUCCUUUCUCUGCCAUGUUAGAUGCUGGGCUGUUCUCUCCCUUUGUGGUUGGUCUCCCCACUUCAAGAAAACCAUUCUGUACAGCUCCCUCCCUUUGUUGUUAUUCAGAAAGUCUGAGAUGCUGGGCCCAUUUCCUCACAGCUAUGAGCAUCCUGGCUCUGGUUUUACAGCCUUGCAUUUGGGAAGAGACAACACACCUACACGACAUUAGCAAACUGCAGAAUCAAAAGCCAAAUCUCCCAGCAUUUGGAGAACAGUGAUGGAUUGCCCAACGCUAUGACACUUACAUGGGGAAGAUGUGUCUUACUUUCCAAAGAAACUUUAGCUUGCCACCUGCUCUAUACCUUCCUUUAGGAAACUAGAACUUGUCUGUUUGGUUAAUGAUUACAGAUUCAAAGGAAUUCAUUUUUUUUAAAAUUUUUAUUUAUUUAUGAUAGUUACACACACACAGAGAGAGGCAGAGACACAGGAAGAGGGAGAAGCAGGCUCCAUGCACCGGGAGCCCGACGUGGGAUUCGAUCCCGGGUCUCCAGGAUCGCGCCCUGGGCCAAAGGUAGGCGCCAAACCGCUGCGCCACCCAGGGAUCCCCCAAAGGAAUUCAUUUUUUAAAGUGAAAUUCAUGACUCAUUGUUUGAAUUAACACUCCUCCACCCCAGCCCACCCUCUGUUUUCUAUAUUGUUAAUGUUGAUAAAGAAGUCAUCACAUCUUAUUGAUUCUGUUCUCCUGGCUUCCUCUACAUCAGGAUAUAGCACAAAUGGGAGUCGUCAACUCAUUAGAGAUAGCCACUUUAAUAGUGACCUCAUCAAUCCAGUCUGUUUCCACAUUAGAGAUGCCAUGAGAAUUUCUGCUUCAGAGACUUCAUCUUUAUAGUUUUGCCAUUGUGCAUACACCCAGGUGAGAAGAGGUUUCUAAGCUAGUGAGACAGAACUAGAGAAGUUGACAUGUUAUUAUAGAAUAAAUAGGAAAAGCUCGGGGCA
rnacentral:lncRNA from 1 species